rnacentral:sRNA from 1 species
AAAUAGGUGCGCUAGGGAUUGUAACGGCAGCUUUUGGUCCCGCCAAUGCGGGAAGCCAAAACUAUUAGUGUAAAGCCCGACCCGAA